rnacentral:rRNA from 1 species
AAUGCAGUCGAGCGAACAGACAAGGAGCUUGCUCCUUUGACGUUAGCGGCGGACGGGUGAGUAACACGUGGGUAACCUACCUAUAAGACUGGGAUAACUUCGGGAAACCGGAGCUAAUACCGGAUAAUAUUUCGAACCGCAUGGUUCGAUAGUGAAAGAUGGUUUUGCUAUCACUUAUAGAUGGACCCGCGCCGUAUUAGCUAGUUGGUAAGGUAACGGCUUACCAAGGCGACGAUACGUAGCCGACCUGAGAGGGUGAUCGGCCACACUGGAACUGAGACACGGUCCAGACUCCUACGGGAGGCAGCAGUAGGGAAUCUUCCGCAAUGGGCGAAAGCCUGACGGAGCAACGCCGCGUGAGUGAUGAAGGUCUUCGGAUCGUAAAACUCUGUUAUUAGGGAAGAACAUACGUGUAAGUAACUAUGCACGUCUUGACGGUACCUAAUCAGAAA